AGCGAACGCUGGCGGCAGGCUUAACACAUGCAAGUCGAACGCCCCGCAAGGGGAGUGGCAGACGGGUGAGUAACGCGUGGGAAUCUACCUAGUUCUACGGAACAACUGAGGGAAACUUCAGCUAACACCGUAUACGCCCUAAGGGGGAAAGAUUUAUCGGAAUUAGAUGAGCCCGCGUUGGAUUAGCUAGUUGGUGGGGUAAUGGCCUACCAAGGCAACGAUCUAUAGCUGGUCUGAGAGGAUGAUCAGCCACACUGGGACUGAGACACGGCCCAGACUCCUACGGGAGGCAGCAGUGGGGAAUAUUGGACAAUGGGCGCAAGCCUGAUCCAGCCAUGCCGCGUGAGUGAUGAAGGCCUUAGGGUUGUAAAGCUCUUUCAGUGGGGACGAUAAUGACGGUACCCACAGAAGAAGCCCCGGCUAACUUCGUGCCAGCCGCCGCAGUAAGAC
rnacentral:rRNA from 1 species